rnacentral:rRNA from 1 species
UACAGAGGGUGCGAGCGUUAAUCGGAAUUACUGGGCGUAAAGCGCACGUAGGUGGCGACGUAAGUCGGGUGUGAAAGCCCCGGGCUCAACCUGGGAAUUGCAUUCGAGACUGCAUUGCUGGAGUACGGAAGAGGAGGGCGGAAUUCCCGGUGUAGCGGUGAGAUGCGUAGAUAUCGGGAGGAACAUCAGUGGCGAAGGCGGCCCUCUGGUGCAGUACUGACACUCAAGUGCGAAAUCGUGGGGAGCAAACAGG